UACGUAGGGCACAAGCGUUAUCCGGAAUUAUUGGGCGUAAAGAGCUCGUAGGCGGUUUGUCGCGUCUGCCGUGAAAGUCCGGGGCUUAACUCCGGAUCUGCGGUGGGUACGGGCAGACUAGAGUGCAGUAGGGGAGACUGGAAUUCCUGGUGUAGCGGUGAAAUGCGCAGAUAUCAGGAGGAACACCGAUGGCGAAGGCAGGUCUCUGGGCUGUAACUGACGCUGAGGAGCGAAAGCAUGGGGAGCGAACAGG
rnacentral:rRNA from 1 species